GGGAUUGCCUCAGUAACGGCGAGUGAAGCGGCAAAAGCUCAAAUUUUAAAGCUGGCAUCUUCGGUGUCCGCGUUGUAAUUUUGUGAGGCAUCUCCGGGUAGGGCGCCGGCCUAAGUUCCUUGGAACAGGACGUCACAGAGGGUGAGAAUCCCGUGCUUGGCUGGCUGUCCCCGUCCAUGUGAGGUGUCUUCGACGAGUCGAGUUGUUUGGGAAUGCAGCUCAAAAUGGGUGGUAAAUUUCAUCUAAAGCUAAAUAUUGGUGGGAGACCGAUAGCGCACAAGUAGAGUGAUCGAAAGAUGAAAAGCACUUUGAAAAUAGAGUUAAAAAGUACGUGAAAUUGUUGAAAGGGAAGCGCUUGAGACCAGACUUCGGUAGGGGGUGAUCAGCCGUGCUUCGGUGCGGUGCACUUGUUCCUCUCUGGGCCAGCAUCGGUUGAGGCGGCGGGAUAAAGGUCCCGGGAAUGUGGCUCCUUCACGGGAGUGUUAUAGCCCGGGUGAAUGCCGCCAGCUUCGACCGAGGACCGCGCCCGCAAGGGUUAGGAUGCUUGGCAUAAUGGUCUUCAGCGACCCGUCUUGAAACACGGACCAAGGAGUCUAACAUCUAUGCGAGUGUUUGGGUGUCAAACCCUUGCGCGAAAUAAAAGUGAACGGAGGUGGGAACCCGCAAGGGCGCACCAUCGACCGGUCCUGAAGUCUUCUGAAGGAUCUGAGUAGGAGCAUAGCUGUUGGGACCCGAAAGAUGGUGAACUAUGCCUGAAUAGGGUGAAGCCAGAGGAAACUCUGGUGGAGGCUCGCAGCGGUUCUGACGUGCAAAUCGAUCGUCAAAUUUGGGUAUAGGGGCGAAAGACUAAUCGAACCAUCUAGAACUGGUUCCUGCAG
rnacentral:rRNA from 1 species